rnacentral:lncRNA from 1 species
AGUGGGCUGAGCACGGCUUGCAUUUUAUAAGACACUGCAAAAAUGCCUUCUCCAUUGGUUUACCAGUUUUAUAUUUAUUAUUAAAGUUAAGCUUAGUUGAUUAAAAACAUAAAGACUGUAUGUAUCAGAAGGUGUUAGACUUCCAGGUGUUUGAGGGAACAUUUUGGAUUCUGUUUAAAAACACAGCUAUUAUAACAGUCUAACUCAGUAUCCACAAGAAUCAGGCCUCAACAACUAUGCAGAGUAAUGUGCCGUAAGUCCCAGUAUUUUGUUCCUAAGUAGGAAGUCAGCAUGGGAGAGAUAUGCAUGAACACCUGCUUAGCCAGUUCCACUCACAUAGCCAAGACAGGAAAUCACAUGAGAAGGAAAAUGGACGACAGAACAGGAGCUCACCCAGUCGCUCAGGUGCUCCGGGUCUAUGGAAGCAGAGGUAGACUCACUCAAGAUGCUGUAUUGUGGACUCAGUGCGAGUUCUGUUAAAUCUAUGGAAGCCAAGAGUGGACAUGAAGAAUUUCUACUUUGGAACAGCAUCUCCCAGCAGCUUCUACAGAGCAGAGAGCAGGCCUAAUGGGGGCAGCUGAAUGCAUGGAACUCCCCAGCAGACCCAAAGCCCCCUGCGUAGAUUCAUCUCUGAGCAGAACAGUGGGGAAGGCACAGGACACUCAAGGUCACAAAUGGUGUUGAGGCCUCUAGUCCAUGACUCUCUUUUUGUUGCUUUUCUUAUGUGCGAUUUGCGGUCAUUUAAAAACCACUUCUCUAACAUAUGACAAUGGAAUAAAACAGCUUUAAAAAUG